AUAGAAAGGGAGAGAGAGAGAGAAGAUGGAAGAGGGCUGAGAGAGAGAGAGAGAGGGAGAGGCAGAGAGAGUUGGAGUAGAGAGAGGGAGAGGGAGAGAGAGUUGGAGUAGAGGGAGAGGGAGAGAGAGUUGGAGUAGAGAGAGAGAGAGAGAGAGAGAUAGUUGGAGUAGAGAGAGGGAGAGAUAGUUGGAGUAGAGAUGGAGAGGGAGAGGGAGAGGGAGAGAGUUGGAGUAGAGAGAGAAACAGAAACAGAUAAAGAGAGAGGGUGACCUGAAAGAGAGAGAGAGAUACCGAGAGAGAGUGACAGUUGGAAGAGAGUUUGGUAAUGGCCGGGGCAUGGGAGAGGACUGUCCCCCUCACGGCUGAGGAGCGAGUGGCCGGGGCAUGGGAGAGGACUGUCCCCCUCACUCCCAGACUCAGAACAGGACCCGAGUCAUGAGUCAUGAAACAGCAGAAUAAACGGCUAUAUAAAGUACUCAAGUGAAAAUGUGUCAACAUAAUUUGCAUGGCUGGUCCACGCUGGACCCCAACCCAAGAGUCACAAGCGAACGACGCUGACACGCUGGACCCCAACCCAAGAGUCCCAAGCGAGCGACGCUGACACGCUGGACCCCAACCCAAGAGUCCCAAGCGAGCGACGCUGACACGCUGGACCCCAACCCAAGAGUCCCAAGCGAGCGACGCUGACACGCUGGACCCCAACCCAAGAGUCCCAAGCGAGCGACGCUGACACGCUGGACCCCAACCCAAGAGACAUGAGGAAGCUACGGAGGGCUGGAGUGGAAAUUCUCCCAGACAAUGAGAGAAACUUCUGGGUUGAAAUAUGGAGCCGACGAUGUCACCCUUUUCAAUCAUCGUAUCAAAGAUGCAGACGAACCAAAGUCACACCCCGCAACUUAAACACCCAAAGAGAGAAAAGACCAGUGCUACUAGAAAACACACACACACUCACUCGCACGUCAGCGGGACUUACGGCGCAGGCCCUCGGUCUCAUCCCAGCGCCCUGUGUAUCUCUGAUCUGCCCAUGGUCUCAUCCCAGCGCCCUGUGUAUCUCUGAUCUGCCCAUGGUCAUGGGUGAGACAUAGGUGGAGGCUUCUGGUCGUGUGGUCAGGGGGAGCCGCACUCUCAAUAUGCCAGUCUGGACACAGUGUACGGAUAGCAGAAGGGGUCAAUAUGCCAGUCUGGACACAGCGUACAGAUAGCAGAAGGGGUCAACAUGCCAGUCUGGACGCAGCGGACGGAUAGCAGAAGGGGUCAAUAUGCCAGUCUGGACACAGCGUACGGAUAGCAGAAGGGGUCAAUAUGCCAGUCUGGACACAGCGUACGGAUAGCAGAAGGGGUCAAUGAGGGGGAGUUAUUGCUCUCGUCUGGAUAAACGACGUCUUAUCCCUCGGCCAAUGCGAUGCGUUAUGGCAGAUGAGGUCAGAGAAAAGCCACCACCUAAUAUGAAGUCUGAGGUCCUAUACACAAAAGCCACAACAAAACAGACCACGCCUGAACCUUAGACAAAUAUUGAUUUCAUUUAGUUAAACAGAACCAGCAAAACAGAAAAUAAAAACAUAAUUCUGGGGUUUCUGUGGUUGCCU
ensembl:lncRNA